CCUACGGGUGGCUGCAGUGAGGAAUAUUGGUCAAUGGACGAGAGUCUGAACCAGCCAAGUAGCGUGAAGGAUGACUGCCCUAUGGGUUGUAAACUUCUUUUAUAUGGGAAUAAAACGUUCCACGUGUGGGAUUUUGUAUGUACCAUAUGAAUAAGGAUCGGCUAACUCCGUGCCAGCAGCCGCGGUAAUACGGAGGAUCCGAGCGUUAUCCGGAUUUAUUGGGUUUAAAGGGAGCGUAGGUGGAUUGUUAAGUCAGUUGUGAAAGUUUGCGGCUCAACCGUAAAAUUGCAGUUGAAACUGGCAGUCUUGAGUACAGUAGAGGUGGGCGGAAUUCGUGGUGUAGCGGUGAAAUGCUUAGAUAUCAUGAAGAACUCCGAUUGCGAAGGCAGUUCACUGGACUGCAACUGACACUGAGGCUCGAAAGUGUGGGUAUCAAACAGGAUUAGAUACCCUUGUAGUC
rnacentral:rRNA from 1 species